AGGCAUUCUCUCCUCAGUGCAAGCCUUUAACCAACAGGGGGCGCUGCAUCCACAAAACAGGUGACCUUUCACCUCUCGGCCCGCCUGCCCGCCAGCUCUGCCUCGGCUAAACCGGGUUUCCUCCUCCUCUGACUUGAUUGUCUCCAACAUGUAAUGGCUCUCUGAUGUACUCGUUCCUGAUCCUAUCCAUCCUGGUCACUCCCGAUGAAAACCUCAGCAUCCUCAUCUCUGCUACCUCCAGUUCUGCUUCCUGUCUUUUCCUCAGUGGCGCUGUCUCUAGGUGAGUGAUUCAAAUGUUGUGCUACUAUUAAAGAGACUAGUAUUGGGCAGAUGGAUUUUCAGAUGUAUGCUGUUUUUCAGCUUGAGUUAACUUUUCAGUUCAUUUGGAGUACAAAUAUAUAUAUAUAUAUAUAUAUGUGUAAUUGUGUCCUGUCGUUUAUCUUUUUGACCAUAAAAUACAGUAAAAGUGGUUAUAUACAUAGUUGCAGAUAGUGACA